rnacentral:lncRNA from 1 species
UGUAAACCAAAAGGGUUAGGACAGACAUUUGAUCAUAGUUCAGAUACUCAAGAUAAACUGGAACACCUGGUCUCAUAGCCAUCUUUAACUUCCACUAUGAACACCUUAAAGGAGGAUCAUGUUUGUGUUCACAGUAGGGGCUCAAUCACUGCUUAAUGAAAGAUGAAUGAUCCUGAGAUACUGCUUUGAAGUGCUUUGAUCUAGAGUCAAACUUAUCCCAGCCUACUUCCCCAAAGGUUUGCAGCCUGAGUCACUCAAUCCUGAGGCAUCACCAACAUCAAUUUUAUGCCUAGUGUGGGAGAGUGGAAAAAAAAUGUCAAGGUGUCAGAAGACUUUGGUUCGGCUUGUGAUUCACCAACAGGCUACAAAGAGCCAUGGUUUUAUCAUUCCUGAAUUUCAUCCGCAUCUGAGGAACAUGCUACGGUCCACUGGAAAAACUGAUUUGAGUGUCAGAGUUGAGUAUGAAGACUAUUUAGGGUGGCUGGCACAUAGCCUGUGACGUAGAAGGCACUGCAUAAACAGCUCAAAUUUAAAUUCACAGGCUAAGAUCCCAUUAGUAAGGUUAUAAGCUUUUUAUAUAGACAUGAGUGUAUUUCUAUUUUAUUGUGAAAGGAAUUUUCAUAAUUAAGACAUCUUUGGCAAAAAUUUAAUGGCAUGAUGCGUCACUUUUUCUCCUCAUUGAUUCAGCACAAGUCCAUGGAUCACAAGAGCUUUGAAAGACACCUCUGAUGGGCUUCAGGAUUAUUAUUGGAAUGGAAGACUUAACCUAGAUUAUGGUUUCAGAAACAACGUGGCCCACUCGUCUUGGUCCCAAUGCACUCAUGAGGGAUCAUCUGCCUUCUGACUUCAUUCUUCCUGCUACAAAGAAGCACAUCUGAGUAGAGGAGAGCACCAACCCCAGGGAGCCCCAAGCCUGCAAACCUGCUUUUGAAGAUGGUUUGAUCAAGAUACCCUGAGAACAUUGGA